rnacentral:rRNA from 1 species
UACGUAGGGUGCAAGCGUUGUCCGGAAUUAUUGGGCGUAAAGAGCUCGUAGGCGGUCUGUCGCGUCGGCUGUGAAAACCCGGGGCUCAACCUCGGGUCUGCAGUCGAUACGAGCAAACUAGAGUGUUGCAGGAGAGACUGGAAUUCCUGGUGUAGCGGUGAAAUGCGCAGAUAUCAGGAGGAACACCGGUGGCGAAGGCGGGUCUCUGGGCAACAACUGACGCUGGAGGAGCGAAAGCGUGGGGAGCGAACAGG